rnacentral:rRNA from 1 species
AAGGCUAAAUACUCCUGACUGACCGAUAGUGAACCAGUACCGUGAGGGAAAGGCGAAAAGAACCCCGGCGAGGGGAGUGAAAAAGAACCUGAAACCGUGUACGUACAAGCAGUGGGAGCCCCACCACUAAGCCAGUGGUGAACUCCACAUACGCAUCCUUUGCUGAGGAUACGGUUAACGGAGCGAAAGCGACGUUCAACCUCAAAAGAAGCAGAGGGGGCUUAGUGGUGGGGUGACUGCGUACCUUUUGUAUAAUGGGUCAGCGACUUAUAUUCUGUAGCAAGGUUAACCGAAUAGGGGAGCCGGAGGGAAACCGAGUCUUAAUUGGGCGUUAAGUUGCAGGGUAUAGACCC